UUCCUUUUUUAAGUUGGAUUCUGAUCUUUUGCUAGGUGCAGACUGAACCGGCUGCUCUCUCCUUCAUGGACAAGGGCCAGGAGAGGGGAAGUUAAAAGAAAUACUUCCACAUGAAGCAGGACGCUUCAAGUUGUCACUUCAUUGGAGUAAAGAUACCUGGAUGAUCUGUAACUAUAAAGCAAUAAUUCACUAAAAAUAUAAGAACUCAAAGCAAUAAGUGAGUAUUGCCUACUUCCAACUAGUGCCCUUGGAAAAUUACAUCAAUUCCAUCGAUUGCUUGAGAAAUGUUGGUGGAACUGCCACCAAAACUGAACCAGAAACAACAACAGAAAUAUAAUAAGAAACUUUAUGCCUAAUGAAGGACAUCUACGUAGACACACGAGCACAUCUACCCAUUUCACAUUCCUCUAAAGGCUGUGAGCUGCUUCAGGGAAAUGACCAAAUCUUAUCCCCAACUCCUGGCACCAAAACUGGCAUAGAUGAAAUGCUUGUUCCAGGAUAUCUCCUUCUUUGGCACAGGGAACGAUGUUUUACUCCCCGUUGCAGCCCAACUGAAGCCAUGUGACUACUUCUGGCCACUGAACUGUGAGGGAAUGUGACAUGUGUCACUUCUGAAACAUCACCAGUCUCUAUCUUUUUGUACCGAGGCAAACCUGGAUGACAUCUGAUGGGGCUGUUGUGGCUAUUAGGAAAAAACAGCAGAAUCUCUAACCACAAAUUGAAAAAUUGUAUUUAUAUAUAUAUUUUUUCGAUUCUCCAGGUCUGAAGGGAGACCUACUUUUUGUAUCUUAGGGAGAUCCUCCUACUUUUUUUGUAUCUUGAGCUAGUGAGGUGUACUGUGUCAUGGGAAGAUCUUAAUAAAAGUUUAUUAAUGAUAC